rnacentral:rRNA from 1 species
AACAGGAUUAGAUACCCUGGUAGUCCACGCCCUAAACGAUGUCAACUGGUUGUUGGGUCUUCACUGACUCAGUAACGAAGCUAACGCGUGAAGUUGACCGCCUGGGGAGUACGGCCGCAAGGUUGAAGCUCAAAGGAAUUGACGGGGACCCGCACAAGCGGUGGAUGAUGUGGUUUAAUUCGAUGCAACGCGAAAAACCUUACCCACCUUUGACAUGUACGGAAUCCUUUAGAGAUAGAGGAGUGCUCGAAAGAGAACCGUAACACAGGUGCUGCAUGGCUGUCGUCAGCUCGUGUCGUGAGAUGUUGGGUUAAGUCCCGCAACGAGCGCAACCCUUGCCAUUAGUUGCUACGAAAGGGCACUCUAAUGGGACUGCCGGUGACAAACCGGAGGAAGGUGGGGAUGACGUCAAGUCCUCAUGGCCCUUAUAGGUGGGGCUACACACGUCAUACAAUGGCUGGUACAGAGGGUUGCCAACCCGCGAGGGGGAGCUAAUCCCAUAAAGCCAGUCGUAGUCCGGAUCGCAGUCUGCAACUCGACUGCGUGAAGUCGGAAUCGCUAGUAAUCGCGGAUCAGAAUGUCGCGGUGAAUACGUUCCCGGGUCUUGUACACACCGCCCGUCACACCAUGGGAGCGGGUUCUGCCAGAAGUAGGUAGCCUAACCGUAAGGAGGGCGCUUACCACGGCAGGGUUCGUGACUGGGGUGAAGUCGUAACAAGGUA